rfam:Camelus ferus unplaced genomic scaffold scaffold917, whole genome shotgun sequence.
GAGGGUAUAGCUCAGUGGUAAAGUGCAUGCCUAGCACGCACAAGGUCCUGGGUUUAAUUCCCACUACCUCUG